UACGGAGGGGGCUAGCGUUGUUCGGAAUCACUGGGCGUAAAGCGCACGUAGGCGGAUGUGUCAGUCAGGGGUGAAAUCCCGGAGCUCAACUUCGGAACUGCCCUUGAUACAGCACGUCUUGAGUCCGGAAGAGGUGGGUGGAAUUCCUAGUGUAGAGGUGAAAUUCGUAGAUAUUAGGAAGAACACCGGUGGCGAAGGCGGCCAGCUAGACCAGUUCUGACACUGAGGCGCGACAGCGUGGGGAGCAAACAGG
rnacentral:rRNA from 1 species